GAAGGUACAGCUCAGCGGUAGAGGGCGUGCUUAGCAUGCAUCAGGUCCUGGGUUCAAUCCCCAGCACCUCCA
rnacentral:tRNA from 1 species